GACGAACCGAGCGAACGUUGUUCGGAAUCACUGGGCUUAAAGGGCGCGUAGGCGGGCUGCCAAGUCUGGGUGAAAUCCCGCGGCUCAACCGUGGAACUGCCUCAGAUACUGGCGGCCUCGAGGGAGGUAGGGGCGAGCGGAACUAAUGGUGGAGCGGUGAAAUGCGUUGAUAUCAUUAGGAACUCCGGUGGCGAAGGCGGGUCUCUGGGCCGAUACUGACGCUGAGGAGCGAAAGCGUGGGGAGCGAACAGG
rnacentral:rRNA from 1 species